rnacentral:rRNA from 1 species
UGCAGUCGAACGAUGAUCCCAGCUUGCUGGGGGAUUAGUGGCGAACGGGUGAGUAACACGUGAGUAACCUGCCCUUGACUCUGGGAUAAGCCUGGGAAACUGGGUCUAAUACCGGAUAUGACCGCUCUGACGCAUGUCAGGUGGUGGAAAGCUUUUGUGGUUUUGGAUGGACUCGCGGCCUAUCAGCUUGUUGGUGGGGUAAUGGCCUACCAAGGCGACGACGGGUAGCCGGCCUGAGAGGGUGACCGGCCACACUGGGACUGAGACACGGCCCAGACUCCUACGGGAGGCAGCAGUGGGGAAUAUUGCACAAUGGGCGCAAGCCUGAUGCAGCGACGCCGCGUGAGGGAUGACGGCCUUCGGGUUGUAAACCUCUUUCAGUAGGGAAGAAGCGAAAGUGACGGUACCUGCAGAAGAAGCGCCGGCUAACUACGUGCCAGCAGCCGCGGUAAUACGUAGGGCGCAAGCGUUAUCCGGAAUUAUUGGGCGUAAAGAGCUCGUAGGCGGUUUGUCGCGUCUGCUGUGAAAGACCGGGGCUCAACUCCGGUUCUGCAGUGGGUACGGGCAGACUAGAGUGAUGUAGGGGAGACUGGAAUUCCUGGUGUAGCGGUGAAAUGCGCAGAUAUCAGGAGGAACACCGAUGGCGAAGGCAGGUCUCUGGGCAUUAACUGACGCUGAGGAGCGAAAGCAUGGGGAGCGAACAGGAUUAGAUACCCUGGUAGUCCAUGCCGUAAACGUUGGGCACUAGGUGUGGGGGACAUUCCACGUUUUCCGCGCCGUAGCUAACGCAUUAAGUGCCCCGCCUGGGGAGUACGGCCGCAAGGCUAAAACUCAAAGGAAUUGACGGGGGCCCGCACAAGCGGCGGAGCAUGCGGAUUAAUUCGAUGCAACGCGAAGAACCUUACCAAGGCUUGACAUGAACCGGUAAUACCUGGAAAACAGGUGCCCCGCUUGCGGUCGGUUUACAGGUGGUGCAUGGUUGUCGUCAGCUCGUGUCGUGAGAUGUUGGGUUAAGUCCCG